CGAAAGCCUGACGGAGCAAGACCGCGUGGGGGAAGAAGGCUCUUGGGUUGUAAACCCCUUUUCUCUGGGAAGAAAGUUGUGAAAGCAACCUGACGGUACCAGAGGAAUCAGCAUCGGCUAACUCCGUGCCAGCAGCCGCGGUAAGACGGAGGAUGCAAGCGUUAUCCGGAAUGAUUGGGCGUAAAGCGUCCGCAGGUGGCAGUUCAAGUCUGCUGUCAAAGACCGGUGCUUAACUUCGGAAAGGCAGUGGAAACUGAACAGCUAGAGUAUGGUAGGGGCAGAGGGAAUUCCUGGUGUAGCGGUGAAAUGCGUAGAGAUCAGGAAGAACAUCGGUAGCGACGGCGCUCUGCUGGACCAUAACUGACACUCAGGGACGAAAGCUAGGGGAGCG
rnacentral:rRNA from 1 species